CCUACGGAGGGCAGCAGUGGGGAAUAUUGCACAAUGGGGGAAACCCUGAUGCAGCGACGCCGCGUGGAGGAAGAAGGUCUUCGGAUUGUAAACUCCUGUUGUUGAGGAAGAUAAUGACGGUACUCAACAAGGAAGUGACGGCUAACUACGUGCCAGCAGCCGCGGUAAAACGUAGGUCACAAGCGUUGUCCGGAAUUACUGGGUGUAAAGGGAGCGCAGGCGGGAGAACAAGUUGGAAGUGAAAUCCAUGGGCUCAACCCAUGAACUGCUUUCAAAACUGUUUUUCUUGAGUAGUGCAGAGGUAGGCGGAAUUCCCGGUGUAGCGGUGGAAUGCGUAGAUAUCGGGAGGAACACCAGUGGCGAAGGCGGCCUACUGGGCACCAACUGACGCUGAGGCUCGAAAGUGUGGGUAGCAAACAGGAUUAGAUACCCUAGUAGUC
rnacentral:rRNA from 1 species